rnacentral:rRNA from 1 species
GACGAACGCUGGCGGCGUGCUUAACACAUGCAAGUCGAACGGAAAGGCCCUUCGGGGUACUCGAGUGGCGAACGGGUGAGUAACACGUGGGUGAUCUGCCCUGCACUUUGGGAUAAGCCUGGGAAACUGGGUAUAAUACCGAAUAGGACCACGCGCUUCAUGGCGGGUGGGGGAAAGCUUUUGCGGUGUGGGAUGGGCCCGCGGCCUAUGAGCUUGUUGGUGGGGUAAUGGCCUACAAAGGCGACGACGGGUAGCCGGCCUGAGAGGGUGACCGGCCACACUGUGACUGCGAUACGGCCCAGACUCCUACGGGAGGCAGCAGUGGAGAAUAUUGCACAAUGGGCGCAAGCCUGAUGCAGCGACGCCGCGUGAGGGAUGACGGCCUUCGGGUUGUAAACCUCUUUCAAUAGGGACGAAGCGCAAGUGACGGUACCUAUAGAAGAAGCACCGGCCAACUACGUG